UUAUUUCUCAUGUUUUGAUUCAGACACAAAAGGCAGAUUAAAGCAUAAAGGCGGCGCCGGAGCGCCGAAGCACAUCUCGCUUCCACAGGUUUGCAAGGUUGAAGGCCGAGAGGCCAUUCAGUAAUGAUCCCUCCGCAGGUUCACCUACGGAGA
rnacentral:misc_RNA from 1 species